rnacentral:rRNA from 1 species
UACGUAGGGUGCGAGCGUUAAUCGGAAUUACUGGGCGUAAAGCGUGCGCAGGCGGUUCGUUGUGUCGGUGGUGAAAUCCCCGGGCUUAACCUGGGAAUGGCCAUGGAAACUGGCGAACUGGAGUGCGGCAGAGGGGGGUGGAAUUCCGCGUGUAGCAGUGAAAUGCGUAGAGAUGCGGAGGAACACCGAUGGCGGAAGGCAGCCCCCCUGGGCUAGCACUGACGCCUCGAGGCACGAAAGCGUGGGGAGCAAACAGG